rnacentral:lncRNA from 1 species
UGACCAUUGGCACUAAUAACAACAGGGCCCUUUAAGCUUUUGGUCCAUGGUGGGAUAUUACUUGUUCCUCACUACCAGGCCUAUUGUGUCUCCACUUCUAAGGCAGCGGCGGCAGCGGCAGCGGUGGGGAAAAGCGGAUUUCGCCCCGAGCCACACCGAGGAGAGCUUGCGGUCGCGACUUGCCGCCCUAAGCACUCUCCCAAGUCCAGCCCGCUCGGCGAGGACUUCAGUCUCCUGGGCGAACCUUGUCAAGCAAGCUGGGAUCUAUGAGUGGAAAGGUGACCAAGCCCAAAGAGGAGAAAGAUGCUUCUAAGGGUAAGCCCGCCUGCCAAGUCCGCCUGCUUCCCUUCGCUAGGUUUCCCUCGACCCCUUGCUUGCGCGCCGCCCUCCGGCGGUUCUCAUUCUCCCUCCUGGAGCCUAAGCUGCCCAUGACCUCUGCGACCCAAGG